AUUGAACGCUGGCGGCAGGCCUAACACAUGCAAGUCGAGCGGCAGCGGAAAGUAGCUUGCUACUUUGCCGGCGAGCGGCGGACGGGUGAGUAAUGUCUGGGAAACUGCCUGAUGGAGGGGGAUAACUACUGGAAACGGUAGCUAAUACCGCAUGACCUCGAAAGAGCAAAGUGGGGGAUCUUCGGACCUCACGCCAUCGGAUGUGCCCAGAUGGGAUUAGCUAGUAGGUGAGGUAAUGGCUCACCUAGGCGACGAUCCCUAGCUGGUCUGAGAGGAUGACCAGCCACACUGGAACUGAGACACGGUCCAAACUCCUACUGGCAGGGAGCAGCGGUACAUACCCCUACAAUUUCAUCGAAACUCAUGCUACACUG
rnacentral:rRNA from 1 species